GUACCCUAGGGCGACUAACAACGAAACCCUAAGGCCCAUGGAUAAAAACGAAAACAAUCCAAAAAUAACUAAGAAAACCAAAAACGGGUAAAAUAGAAAAAUGCCGUUUUGAGGCCCUAAACGAUCCCGAAAGCCCGAAAAAGGUCACACGUCGUGGCAUAGCAACGAGUUUGCUUUCUGGCGCGAUUCCCUUUCCGGAAAGCUAAAGUGCGUCCCGAUCGGACUCCGGAGGCCCAUUUCACGUCUACUAGUCCCUUUUCGGUUUCCACCCUUAGCACGAUCCAAUUGUUCUUGAAAUUGGACCGCUAUCUGUUCUACAUCAGUCUCCUCCACCUCCGAAGAACUCGACCCCG
rnacentral:lncRNA from 1 species